UACGGAGGGUGCGAGCGUUGUUCGGAAUCACUGGGCGUAAAGGGCGUGUAGGCGGUCCGCUAAGUCUGAUGUGAAAGCCCGGGGCUCACCCCCGGAAGGGCAUUGGAAACUGGCGGACUCGAGUCCCGGAGAGGAAGGUGGAAUUCCUGGUGUAGCGGUGAAAUGCGUAGAUAUCUGGAGGAAUACCGGUGGCGAAGGCGGCAUCCUGGACCGGCAUUGACGCUGAGGAGCGAAAGCUAGGGGAGCAAACGGG
rnacentral:rRNA from 1 species